rnacentral:rRNA from 1 species
UGCCACUCUUAACGGGGUGGCUUUUCAGAAGUGUAAAAAGCUUCUGGAAUAAGGGCUGGGCAAGACCGGUGCCAGCCGCCGCGGUAACACCGGCAGCUCAAGUGGUAGCCGCUUUUAUUGGGCCUAAAGCGUCCGUAGCCGGUCUGAUAAGUCUCUGGUGAAAUCCCACAGCUUAACUGUGGGAAUUGCUGGAGAUACUAUCAUGACUCGAGGUCGGGAGAGGCUGGAGGUACUCCCAGGGUAGGGGUGAAAUCCUGUAAUCCUGGGAGGACCGCCUGUGGCGAAGGCGUCCAGCUGGAACGAACCUGACGGUGAGGGACGAAAGCCAGGGGCGCGAACCGGAUUAGAUACCCGGGUAGUCCUGGCCGUAAACGAUGUGGACUUGGUGUUGAGAUGGCUUCGAGCUGCCCCAGUGCCGAAGGGAAGCUGUUAAGUCCACCGCCUGGGAAGUACGGCCGCA